UACGUAGGGUGCGAGCGUUAAUCGGAAUUACUGGGCGUAAAGGGUGCGCAGGCGGUUAUAUAAGACAGAUGUGAAAUCCCCGGGCUCAACCUGGACCUGCAUUUGUGACUGCAUCGCUAGAGUACGGCAGAGGGGAUGGAAUUCCGCGUGUAGCAGUGAAAUGCGUAGAUAUGCGGAGGAACACCGAUGGCGAAGGCAAUCCCCUGGGCCUGUACUGACGCUCAUGCACGAAAGCGUGGGGAGCAAACAGG
rnacentral:rRNA from 1 species